AUGGCGGCCGAGGAAGGCGAGAAGAAGAUGAUCACGCUCAAGAGCUCGGACGGUGAGGAAUUUCAGGUCGAGGAGGCGGUCGCCAUGGAGUCGCAGACCAUCCGCCACAUGAUCGAGGACGACUGCGCCGACAAUGGCAUCCCGCUUCCCAACGUCGACUCCAAGAUCCUCUCCAAGGUCAUUGAGUAUUGCAAGAAGCAUGUCCAGGCCAGCCCCAAACCGGCCAACUCUGGCGCCGCCGUCGACGCCAGCUCCUCCACCUCUACUGCAGUCGCCGCCUCCGCCGAGGACCUCAAGAGCUUUGACGCUGAGUUCAUCAAGGUCGACCAGAACACCCUCUUCGACCUCAUCCUGGCUGCAAACUACCUCAACAUCAAGGGAUUGCUCGACCUUACUUGCCAGACUGUUGCAGAUAUGAUCAAGGGGAAGACUCCGGAGGAGAUCCGUAAGACUUUCAACAUCAAGAAUGACUUCACACCCGAGGAGGAGGCUGAGAUCCGCAGGGAGAACCAGUGGGCUUUUGAGUAG
rnacentral:rRNA from 1 species